AUUGAACGCUGGCGGCAUGCCUUACACAUGCAAGUCGAACGGUAACAGGUCUUCGGAUGCUGACGAGUGGCGAACGGGUGAGUAAUACAUCGGAACGUGCCUAGUAGUGGGGGAUAACUACUCGAAAGAGUGGCUAAUACCGCAUGAGAUCUACGGAUGAAAGCAGGGGAUCGCAAGACCUUGUGCUACUAGAGCGGCCGAUGGCAGAUUAGGUAGUUGGUGGGAUAGAAGCUUACCAAGCCGACGAUCUGUAGCUGGUCUGAGAGGACGAUCCGCCACACUGGGACUGAGACACGGCCCAGACUCCUACGGGAGGCAGCAGUGGGGAAUUUUGGACAAUGGGCGCAAGCCUGAUUCAGCAAUGCCGCGUGCAGGAUGAAGGCCUUCGGGUUGUAAACUGCUUUUGUACGGAACGAAAAGCCCCGGGUUAAUACCCUGGGGUCAUGACGGUACCGCAAGAAUAAGCACCGGCUAACUACGUGCCAGCCGCCGCCGUAA
rnacentral:rRNA from 1 species